rnacentral:rRNA from 1 species
UCUGGUGACAUUAACGCAGUGGCACCACCCGUUCCCAUUCCGAACACGGCAGUGAAACGCUGCAGCCCCGAUGGUAGUACGGCGACAGGCCGUGCGAGAGUAGGACGUCGCCAGAA